GCUCUUCCUUUCCCGCGGGACCGGCGAGGGAGGAAGAAGCGCGAAGAACCGUCUGUCAUGCUGGUGUGGUGGCGGCGGCGGAGCCUGCGGGCCCGUAGCUGUGCUCUGCGAGGUGCAAGAAAGCCUUUGCGGUGAAGGUGUAUGAAGGUCAUCAUGACAAAUGUUUUCCAAAAACUUGUAGAAGGCUGUGAAAAAACUACGAGGAUCACACGUCAUGUAUUGAGGUGUGGCAUGCAACAUUUUGGAAGGAAAAUUGAAGACUUGUUCAAGAAAACACGAACAGAAGCAAAUGAUGAAAAUGAGCAUUUUACUUGAUGUUGAUAACAUCACAAUAAAUUAUGGAGAAAAAUACAUAUUUGGCUAACUGUUUUAAUUGCUGAACAAUAAAGUGUUUUCUUUUAAAUCAA